UACGUAGGGGGCAAGCGUUGUCCGGAAUCAUUGGGCGUAAAGAGCGUGUAGGCGGUCCGUUAAGUCGGCUGUGAAAGUCCAAGGCUCAACCUUGGGAUGCCGGUCGAUACUGCCGGACUAGAGUUCGGAAGAGGCGAGUGGAAUUCCCGGUGUAGCGGUGAAAUGCGCAGAUAUCGGGAGGAACACCUAGUGGCGGAAGGCAGCUGCGCUGGGACGUUACUGACGCUGGAGAACGCG
rnacentral:rRNA from 1 species